GAGCAGCGAGCUGUUCCCUCACUGAAAGGCAGCAAACACACGGGAGGGUGUCGAGAGGACGCGGCCGGUCUCUGUUUAGUUUUCCCGGCGAGAGGAAGGAGAGGCAGCGGGCACGAACUGAAGCCCAGGAGGUUCCAGCUCAAUACGAGGGGGCACUUCUGUGCUGUGAGGUGACAGAGCACGGGGACAGGCUGCCCACAGAGGUUGUGCGCUCUCCUCUGGAGGUGUUCAAAACCUGCCUCGAUGCCAUCCUGCACAAUGUGCUCUGAGUGAGCCUGCUCAGCAGGGGUUUGGACUGGGUGGUCUGCAGAGCUCCCUUCCAGCCUCGGCCAAUCUGGGACUCUGUGAUUCUGUGAAAAAGGAGUUUUUUGCCAAGUCAGUGAGCAACCAUCAGGGCAAAAGAAAAAGCUCUGGCAGGUUUUAUUGGUGGCAUACCUGCCCGUCAGCUGUCAGCCCUGUAUUGUGCCUCGAAAUCAGCUACACCGCCUGGACUGCCAGCAGUGCAAGACGCCGCGACCCCCCCAUGGCCUAAGGACACACGUGCAAUUCAGGAUUUCCUGGACCCUCUUGAAGUCUGUGAGCAGUCCUACAGCGUCACAUCAAGCUGUGGAGUGCCACACUGCUGACACCAUGCUAUACAUCACAUGAAAAAUCAAAACUGAUCAGGGCAUGAGCAAUUUGGUGCUGAACUAUGACAUCAGGAGUUAAAAUCUAGAGGCAGCUUUUCUAGAGCAAGAAGACAGGGCAGACAACGGGAGCCCUUUUGCAGCAUCUACUUUGUUCCCUAUCUGCUCCUUGUCCCAGCUGGAUAGCCUCAGGUCUUCGGCUGCAGUCUACUGCUGGUCUCCAGUGAGAGACGAACCUGAGUUCAAACCCCAUUUGGAUAAGUACAAAAAGCCUAGUCUUAACAGACUGGCUUUUCUAAGUCAAAGAAGAUGGAAGACAAAUGUAAGGAGUACUGCGCUGCUUUGUGUCACUGUGAAACAUCAGGUAUUCUUCAAACAGCUAUCAACAAUGUUCUCCAGACUUCUUGAAAAAAAAGGAAAAAUGAGAAGAUCUGAAUAAAAAUGGGAAAAUAGGGACUUGUACUAUUAGGCUAUUAGUCUGGUUGGUCUGAGAGGGGCUGUCUAGCAAAGGGGCUGUUUGCCGUGUUAUUCAUCAACUUUGCUUGCAGCCUGAACAAUCCUUAUGGCUGCCAAAAAAUCAGGACAAUUUCCUCCAUCUGUUUAGGUGAAGGCUGUUCAGGCAAGUUAUGACACUUAAAUUUGUGAGAGAUAUUUCUGAGACUGUUUCUGGGAGAUGAUAUACCAUAAUAGCAGGUGAAACUGCAGACUCCUCCAGAAAAGAACAUUUGAUGUCUCAACACAGACAGAUGCUGAUGUAAAUGUUUAUGAAGAAUUUAAGUAUGUGACAUUGCCUGUAUGGCAAUGCAGAAAUUAUACUGCUAGUGAAAGAUAUUUUAUGAAAUAAAAAUCAUUGGAUGAGGAAUGGAUGAGAACGGUGCCAAAGCAGGACCACUGCCAUGACAAAUGUAGUGCCAAGCAAGUGCAGCAAGAGGAAAAUCUAUUAAUUACAUAUAUUCAGUGUUAGAGGCAUAUCUCAAAUCUGUCAUUUUAAGAUGCUAUUAAAAUUAAUGCUGUCCUGAGAGGUAACUCUUGGAACUAUGUAUAAAAGUACCCAAUUAAUUAAAAAAAUAAAAUCCAAUGAGAUACUAGAUUUUGAGAGAGAAGCAGUGAGUAGCUAAGCAUACAACCAGGCACUCAUAAAAUGGACUCUCCUUGGAGAAGAACACUUUGUCUCUCAUUUCUGAGAGCCGCCUUGCAGCUGGAACUGAACUGGAGAAGGAACUACAGGAAUUGAAGAUCACAUUUGCAAAUCUUCUGCAAUUUUGAAAGGAGGUAUACACUGCAUGGUAUGGACACACUAUCUCACCAUCCAAUGCUGUCAAAUGCUUAGAAUACAUGCAGCAGAGAUACGGAUAAAAAAGGAAGGGGAUGUGCACCUGGAAAUGUGGAGGUAGAUCCCUGCAUCUUAGACCCUGCCUCAAGCAGCCACGGUUUCAGCCCCCUCUGUGAUGGCAGCUGCAAGGAUAAGAAUGAGAAGAAAAAACUUCACAGAUGGAAUCAUAACAAAUAUUGGCUUGUCUCCAUGUGGAAGUAAGCAGCAUGUGGUACCUGGGAUGUGCACCACAUAAACUGGCCUGCAUUGAUUCCCUCGCUGCACACUCCUAAUGCAAACUCUGUCGUCAGGAAUAGCAAUUUCUCAGACCAAAGACCUGUAAAGCCAGAGAAGCAGCUGAUCCCUGCCCUGGUACCUGAGGAUGUGUCAACACUUCCCGUUAGAGCAAUCAGUGCGUAAGUUAGCAAAAUACAGACAGCUAGAGAAGAUGCCUGUGUGAAAUCAAGGCUGUACCAGGUGGUGGUGGACUAGGACAUGGUUCGAUUCCUGCCUACAUCACUAUUAUGGCAGCUUGCUUGUUCGUGGUACUGCAACAUGACCUUGAGUGGACAAAAUGGCUGCUGCAACAACAAGGAUUACAGGACUGUGCUACAUUUAAGAAUUUCUGUUAAUGUUAUAUUUAAUGUUGUAUUUUUGUAAAUGCUGUAUGUUUGCUUUACCAAAUUAAUUAAGACACAAACUAACCCUGCCAACUGGUACAGGAGAGGGCAGUGGUUUCUUGCAGGGAAAGGUCAAGCAGGGAAAACUGCUUCCCUUGCAGACAGAGGAGGAAAAGGAGUUUGAUAUCUUAAUCUAGCAACUCCUCUUCGGGAUGUAAUGCUAGAGCAUUAUAACCAGACAACCUUACUUAACUCUCCCUCUGUCCUUGGAAGACAGACUGACUCAUACUGUGUGUGUUAUAAUGUUCCAUUGUGCAGCGUGACAUUCUAGUGUCAUUUUCUUUCAACACUGAGAUUUGAUAUUGCCUUGACAAAUAUUUAUUUAAGGGAUCCAGUGUUACUCAGUGCAACCCUAAGUCAUCAAGGUAUUGCAGCAUUUUCAUAGAUAUGAAAAAAAAAAGUCUUUAAUGCUUUCACCAGACACCAAAAAUUUGUUAAGCAUGACUUCUGUAAAGUGCAAAGAUUAGUUUGGUCUGUAAGCAUGAGCUUUCUUUUUUCAUUUCCAACUGAUCAUGUUAAAGCAACUUAAUGUUUGAAUACAACAGUGACACUUACAAAACAUGACAAACACAGUCAUGGUCUUAUUGAAGACAAUCCUGUUGAAAUUCUUCCCAACAAGCACUUUGACUGGCAUCUUGUCCCAGUCCUCUGUGAUUUCUUCACUGGAGAGAUGUAUCUAAGCAGAAACAAACACUGAUGUGAAAGUGCAAGGAACAUUGAGAAACUUUACUCCAGGAUAAGUUUAUGUGAGACCACUGGGACCUUUCUCUAACUCAUGUCCACCAUUACUGUAUGUUAUUUUUUUGAUAUCUCUGUGUCCUAUCCAGCCUUCACACACUACUCCCUGCUCUCCCUUGAGUGGGGAACUGCUAUCUUGCACCUAUGCAUAGUUGAUGGUUAGAAUUGUUUGCUCCUCUCUUGAAUAGAGACAUACUAGAAAGUCUGAAAGUCUCCUUUUAUCUCAUCUCAUUAGUAAUGAACAUACCUUUGCUUUUCCAUCUAGGUAGCUCUGGCAAAAAUGUCUUAGGUUCUCCAAAGUCACCUCAUCUGCAGGCAUUUUGUACUUCGCAUUGCUUGUCAGGUUUAGGAUUCUCACAGCGGGAACAUCAAUGUCCCUGAUGCGAAAAUACUCAAAAACUCGUCCAUUCCUGGUUUCAUUAGUAUUCACCAAGACAAAUGUUAUCUGAUAAUAAAGAAAGAGUCAGGCAUCUGGUUGAGUCUUCAACCUUUGGUAUAACCAUUUAGAGAAACGGGUUGGCAGUGGGUUAGAACCUAACCUUAAAUACAAGCAACUGUGUAGAACCAUUUUUGAUCUCAGUCCAACAAGCAGCAGCUCUGUGAACUUUAUCAUACCUUGAUCCAUGUUAAUAAAUGCUAAAGCAACCAAAAGGAACAGAUAUUUUCCUUCUUUCCUUUCAUACUGGUUUGCCACUGCUUAUUUUAGUAAUGCUUCUGAAUUACCGCUCAAAGCUCUUAUUGCCAUUCUUAAUAAAUCUUCACAGGACAAAAGAGCUGAAACACAUAUAGUCCAUGUGUCUUUUUAAAUACUCAUGUGUGUUGUUUGUAAGACAAAUGAUCAUUCUUCAGUCUUUAGCAUACUUAGAGCAGGAGUAGGAGCACAGUGACAACUGAAACUGAAAUACUCGUCUGUGACUGCCUAUAGGUGUUUGCAGACACUUGUGUGUUACAGACAAGGCUAUACAGGUGUCUUGCAAUAUUUCUCAGGCUUUCUACCUGAUUUUAGCUUUGGCUUCAGGCAAUACCCUGCAGUCUUCAUGGUGUUGCCUGGUGCUGGCAGAAAUUGCCAGAAGCUUGCUGAAACUAUCUUUGGUUGGAAGAAGUUGUGUGCAUAAAAUCAGAGUCAGGUUUAUUGGGAGCAGCUGGAAUCAGUGUUGGUUUCUGUGAUCUUUGUGUUUUAAAGAAUCAUUAUGAAGUGAAAAUUAUUCUUUGAAUUUGUCAAAUCAUUUUGUUAAGGGCCCAAGCUGAAAAAUAGUUGCUGAAACUUUUAAAGGGAUUGAUAGACUUAAGAGACAGGCUGACAGCAAAGUAAUUUUAGCAACAACAUUCGUGAGUGUUUUUCCAUUGAUUUUUGGCAUUUGUAUUUGCAAAGCAGGAUUCAUUAUUACAAA